CUCUCUCCGCCCACCUCCUCAGGUUUUAAUAACCUCUCGUUCCACCCGAAAGGAGAAGGUCUCCGUGGGCAACGAAAGACAGCCUCCCCAAAAACCCUGCCAGUGAUCAAUGGAGACGAAAAUUCACUGACGCCGCUCAUACAAAUAAGGACAAGCAAAGGCGACCUGCCUUUCUCGCAGCUCCAUCUCUGCCCGCGAUGGGAGCCGAUAGCGGAGUGAGAAGUGUGAGCGCGUGCCCUGCGCGUGUGUGAUCGCAGCUAAACGGGGGGAGAUGGAUGACGGUAAUUUAGGGCCAAGACAUCAAUCUCUCAAGAGGGAAUAGAUUUCUGUAGGACACCUGGAGCCAUUCGCCCUCCUGAGAUGACCUAUCCACUUUGCGGUGACGCCACUUAUUUCCAAACCAUCCACAACACCAGCGCCCUGCUCCGGUGAACAGUGAAUUUGUAUCCCCCUCAGACGUCCUACCGGAGAAGGAAAGACAACCUUGGCUGAAGACUCUGUGUAAGCACUUCAUUAGCUCCUCGGCUCCCAACAUCCACAUCGUAAUCUGAGUGACGGCCAGUGUGAGAAGAACCCAGCAAAAUACCCCAAACCGACUGAUGACACUCCAGCAGGAAACGUGCUAGCAGUGAAGGCAGGAAACGCCAGUCCCUUAAUUGAGAGGACUAAUUAAGAGGACAUUAUUUAAUUGUCCUCCUAAGCUAUCGCCUCUUUAACUUGGUUGUGAGAAGCCAGCGCUGUGCUAUGAUGGAAUUUAAUUUCACAAUAGAGGGUUGUUCUGGUACUUAGCUGCCACUUGCGACGUAGCAGUUGAGGUUAAAUAGAGCGCAUGUCGCUGAAAUUGAUUGCGUUGUGCAAACAGCUAUUGACAAAGGUCACACUUAAUGUUGGGGCGAUGCAUCAUCUCAAAGCACGUUUUAUGUUAAUUACAUUUUGCCAGGUGACCUCCGCUCGUCAUUGCUAAAUUAACCGGUUUGUGUUUUGAGAAAGUUAAAUUACAAUUUGAAUGUGUUUGUGUGUGUGUGUGUGUGUGUGUGUGUGUGUGUGUGUGUGUAAGGUAACGGGAAGGACCCAAAUGCAGAUUUUUAUUUGCAGAUUAGUAUGUGAUCUCUGGGUCACUUUGUAUAAGAAGAACCCCUUUGAUUUAUUGAAACAACCUACCCAAAGGCCUGACAAGUCAAUGUAGCAUCACGUCUUUGACAAACUGACAAAGAACAAGGGGACGUUCACCUGUACGAAUACAACUGGGCUGAGUAAUUACAAACGGGAAGCAGGUGGGAAGGGAAGGAACCUCCAGGGCUGGUGAAGGAAAGUGAGCACAGGUGAAGAGGUUCGUGGAGAAGGUCACGUGACUGGGAAUGUUUUUUGUUUUUUUUCUCAGACCAGGGGGGGUUUGAGUGACAAGCGGAAAAGUCAAAAGCCAUAUGGUAGCUGGAAAAUUGCCCACAAACCACUUUGAAGGAAUGUGAACGAAGGCAGGACCACAGAGGCAUAUUUUAAAACUCAUAGUAUUUGCAAAAUUAUUUAUAUAUCAUGGGAUUUACUAACAAUGGAUAAACUCAACUCAUUGUGAUAAGCUGUGCUGUAUUUAGGAAGGACUGUGUUGAAUUGUAAUGCCCCACUCUUUAUUUAUGCAAAUCUUAUUUGGAUCUUCGAUUUAAAAGUCCACCGAACGUGUGACCUUGUCUCAGUUACAGUUCAGCUAGACAGAAGUAAGGAUACUGUUGAUUCUUUAGAGAUACAGCAUGAAGGCAAAGAAAUAAUAACGGCACCAAUCAGUAAAAAUGAAUAGUAAAAAGAUAAAGUGGAACUGCGUAGUGCAGGAUGUUGCUACUUGAGUGAACAGAUCUUGUGUGACUAACAGCAGCAGCUGGUAUGAGGUGCGUGAGAAACGACUCAAAGUUAGUCGAAGUCGAACAGAUGGACCAGCUGGUCUCCAUUGGUUGGUAACCAUGGUAAUUUGGAUUUGACCUUAUUUGUGUCUUAAUAUUUCUACCGCACACCCACAGCACCAAAUCCUCUCCAUGACAAUGUUGGCAUGUCCUUCCAUACUUGUAAACAGCUCAGUCAGGAAUAUUUCCACUUAAGCAAAUUUGACUUGGCUAUCAAGAAGACCUUUUGGCCAAUUUUGCCAACACACGCAUGUACACACCUAUUUCCAACAGGACCAACUGUUGUGCUCAGUGUCACGGUUCCCACAUUGGUCCAACAUGCUUUCUGAACAUGAGGGAGGUCUCUUGUGUUCCUCAUUCUCACAGGUUCUGUCCUCAGCAUGAGGCCUGUCGUCAAUCCACCGCUAAAAAUACGCAAACUAAAGAGGGAGAUUUCACUGCUCCAUGUAGCCUGAGAUUCAGCCAUUUUAUUGGGACACAAUAUUUAUCCUUUGGGUGCAUAGCAUUGUUUUCCAAAGAGUAGGUCCCUGUUCAAUACUUCAACCUACAAGUGUGACUUUGGAAAAUGCAGAUCCUGAAAAUGUUGUGCUGAAGUCCGGGGAAAGCAAACAAAAAGGUCAGUAGCAAUUUGGUCUUAAUGUGUAAUGUUUACUUUAGGUUUCAUGGAGUCCAGAGAUUGGGGCUAAAUGAUAAAUUACAUUACAGGUCAUUUAGCUGACGCUUUUAUCCCCCCCCCAAAAAAGUUCAAUUUUUAACCCAUCAAUUUUUACAUUUUUGCCUGGGGAGCAAUUAGGAGUUAUGUGUCUUGCUCAGGGACACUUCAACGUGGAGCAGCUUCAUUUUAUAUCAACGCUCAUCGUUUGUUUCUAUUUAUUGACGUCAUGGUUGCAGCCGGUGCAACACAGAGUAUAUAGUUUUCUACCGUGUGACAGAAUUUAUUAUUGUAUAUUAAAGUUUCGCCAUCUGCAUUCAUUUUAAUGAGUUGCUCUCUGCAGGUUCUCCUGCCGAUAAAGAUAGUUUCUCUUUCCUCAGUGCAUGAAGCCAGAAAGCUCUUGUUGAUUUAAUGCAUAAAUGAUGGCGCAGUAAUAUAGUCAAGGAUGAUAUAAAUUGUUUAUAUAGCUGUUUAUAGUGCUCUCCAGGUAAGAGGAUGUGUGUAUGACUAUUUUUUGUAUCUAUUUCAAACAGACAUAACAAACACAUGCAAACCAUGUUAAUGAGUUUAGAUUCUGAUACAUUACACACGGGCCAUCGGCUCGUCUCUGGCUCCAUGUGAUCUGGAUUAAUGGCGGAGUGCAUCCACAGUAUUGCAUAUCUGCAAUAUAAUCUACAUGGUGAGGUCACACCAAGCUGCUUAAUAGCACUGGUUCGUCUGUAAGUAUAGUGAUCGGCUUUCCCCAUCACCCUCUCUCUCUCUCCCCUCCUCUGCUGUAAUCCUCACAAUGAUGUAUUAUGCCCACGCUGCAGUGUUAUGGGCAAGACUAUGCUUUCUCAUUCAUGUUUGAAUUCAAUUCAGCCAUUUGACUGAUGCCAAAAAUCAUUGCAAAGUUAAAUUCCGAUGAUUAAGUCAUCGAUUACUUUUAUUGAUCAUCAUGCACUGCACCGGCAUUAUUAGGGGUUCAAAUAAAUAAUUGAAAUCCACUUAAAGUGGAAAAUGACGUUGGAUUAAUGUUGUGAAAUGAUUUCUUAGGAUUAGGCUAUAAUAGUAUAUGUGUGAGGUUAGAAUGAUGGAAACGAUGACGUAAGCUGUGUUUGUUUGACCCGUCUACGUCGUACUCCCACCCUCUGUGGACACGGGUGCACUUUUCAUUAUACCAUGUGAAGUCAAAGUGACCUCACGUUGAACAACGGUCGCACAGCUUAUUUCCCAAACCUGCUCAACACCAGCUCGCUGCGCCAAGUGUGAGCAAAUGCAGAAAUGUCCAUAUAAAUGAUUCACAAUAGACAAUUAUUAUUAUUAUUGUUAUUUCUCAGGAUCCAGUGUUUCAGGCGCAAAUUCAUUGCAUUUCAUAUGUUUUAUUUGGUCAUAACUUUAAAAGACUUGAUUUCUAUGAAAAAAAAGAGGUGAAGUGUUUCACAAUGUUGUUUUUCUGUCCUGUGUACAUAAUCUAAGAUCAACACAGCAGCUCUGCUGCCUUGUUUAAAUGAGAUGCUUUGGAUAACAAUCCUGUUGGCCGGCUGCCCGAGCUAUUAACGUCUCCCCAUCUCACACAAACUGCAGCAACUUUAUUAUUAAGUACACAAUCUAUUUGUAAUACUUGCUAAUUUGAUGUGAAAUCACUGUGUCACUGAGUGUGAUGCAUGAAACACACAACUAAAACAAAUGAAGACCGUCUCAACUCAUGAAAGGCAAAUCGUUGUGUGGUGCAAAAGGUGUUUGUGCAGAUGGUGCGAAGGAAUGUGAGAGCCAAAACAUUCUAAAUGUGGUGUUCAGUGAGAGGUUUUGAGUGUCCGGGGAAUAUAUCUAGGAUGUUGACACUAUAAAUAAAGAAACAGAUAAUAAUUUGUCAAAAGCCUGGUGCAGAAGCUGAGAUGUGACCUUUCACCUCCCAGCGUGGGAGACCCACGUCGUUGGUUCAGUGCCGUCUUCUCCACAAGCUCCAGAUGACCCUUUUGGAAUAAGAACAACUUGGUUGCCAUGGUGACUCGAGCCAUUUUAACAAUAUGCUCUGUUGCUACAGUGUGUAGAGGCUUGAUACAGACCAGUUACUUCCAAAGAACGAACUAAUUGCAGGUGUAUUUUUUUAGGUAGUGCCCAGGUGAUGAACGUUGCUCUGCAUUUUUAUAAAUAUUCCACAGAAUAAAAAAUCCACCAUGAAUUUACAAUGCUUAAGGCAAAUUUAUUUUGAAGAAAUGUAUCAAACAAAUGUAAUUUUCAUAGAAAGAGUCUUAAACACAAAUGCAAGCAUCUUCCAUAUUUCCUGAUUUUUGUUGUUACCCAAAUGUAUUUGUAUAACAUAUUUGUUGGUAUUUGAAAAUGAAGCAGUCAGAAGGAUUUCCCUCUGCUGGUAGUUCCAGCUGUGUCC
ensembl:lncRNA